rnacentral:rRNA from 1 species
UGGCGGACGGGUGAGUAACGCGUGAGCAACCUGCCCUUCGGAGGGGGAUAGUGUCUGGAAACGGACAGUAAUACCGCAUAACGUAUUUUUACCGCAUGAUAGAAAUACCAAAACUGAGGUGCCGAAGGAUGGGCUCGCGUUGGAUUAGAUAGUUGGUGGGGUAACGGCCUACCAAGUCGACGAUCCAUAGCCGGACUGGAGAGGUUGAACGGCCACCAUUGGGACUGAGACACGGCCCAGACUCCUACGGAAGGCAGCAG